AGUGAACGCUGGCGGUAGGCCUAACACAUGCAAGUCGAACGGCAGCACAGUAAGAGCUUGCUCUUACGGGUGGCGAGUGGCGGACGGGUGAGGAAUACAUCGGAAUCUACUUUUUCGUGGGGGAUAACGUAGGGAAACUUACGCUAAUACCGCAUACGACCUACGGGUGAAAGCAGGGGAUCUUCGGACCUUGCGCGAUUGAAUGAGCCGAUGUCGGAUUAGCUAGUUGGCGGGGUAAAGGCCCACCAAGGCGACGAUCCGUAGCUGGUCUGAGAGGAUGAACAGCCACACUGGAACUGAGACACGGUCCAGACUCCUACGGGAGGCAGCAGUGGGGAAUAUUGGACAAUGGGCGGAAGCCUGAUCCAGCCAUACCGCGUGGGUGAAGAAGGCCUUCGGGUUGUAAAGCCCUUUUGUUGGGAAAGAAAAGCAGCAGGUUAAUACCCCGCUGUUCUGACGGUACCCAAAGAAUAAGCACCGGCUAACUUCGUG
rnacentral:rRNA from 1 species